rnacentral:rRNA from 1 species
UGGGGAAUAUUGCACAAUGGAGGAAGCUCUGAUGCAGCGAUGCCGCGUGAGGGAAGAAGGUUUUAGGAUUGUAAACCUCUGUCUUCAGGGACGAAAAAGGACGGUACCUGAGGAGGAAGCUCCGGCUAACUACGUGCCAGCAGCCGCGGUAAUACGUAGGGAGCGAGCGUUGUCCGGAAUUACUGGGUGUAAAGGGAGCGUAGGCGGGAUCGCAAGUCAGAUGUGAAAACUAUGGGCUUAACCCAUAAACUGCAUUUGAAACUGUGGUUCUUGAGUGAAGUAGAGGUAAGCGGAAUUCCUAGCGUAGCGGUGAAAUGCGUAGAUAUUAGGAGGAACAUCAGUGGCGAAGGCGGCUUACUGGGCUUUAACUGACGCUGAGGCUCGAAAGCAUGGGUAGCAAACAGGAUUAGAUACCCUGGUA